rnacentral:pre_miRNA from 1 species
CAUACUUUAUGAUGUUGCAUAUAUCACACAUACGUUUGAGAGUGAUGCUGGUUGUUGACAGAAGAUAGAGAGCACUAAGGAUGACAUGCAAGCACAUACAUAUAUCAUCACACCCCAUGUGGAUGAUAAAAUAUGUAUAACAAAUUCAAGAAAGAGAGAGAGAGAGAGAUCAGAUGUAGAGGGAGAGGGAGAGAAAGAGACUGCAUCUCUACUCUUUUGUGCUCUCUAUACUUCUGUCACCACCUUUAUUUCUUCUUCUCUCUCACCUACAUAUACGCACAGUCACAUCUAUG